UACGAAGGGGGCUAGCGUUGUUCGGAAUUACUGGGCGUAAAGCGCGUGUAGGCGGGUCCUUAAGUCAGGGGUGAAAUGCCAAGGCUCAACCUUGGAACUGCCUUUGAUACUGGGGAUCUUGAGUCCGGGAGAGGUGAGUGGAACUGCGGGUGUAGAGGUGAAAUUCGUAGAUAUUCGCAAGAACACCAGUGGCGAAGGCGGCUCACUGGCCCGGAACUGACGCUGAGACGCGAAAGCGUGGGGAGCAAACAGG
rnacentral:rRNA from 1 species